rnacentral:rRNA from 1 species
UACGUAGGGCGCAAGCGUUGUCCGGAAUUAUUGGGCGUAAAGAGCUCGUAGGCGGCUUGUCACGUCGGGUGUGAAAGCCCGGGGCUUAACCCCGAGCCUGCAGUGGAUACGGGCAGACUAGAGGUAGGUAGGGGAGAAUGGAAUUCCCGGUGUAGCGGUGAAAUGCGCAGAUAUCGGGAGGAACACCGGUGGCGAAGGCGGUUCUCUGGGCCUUACCUGACGCUGAGGAGCGAAAGCGUGGGGAGCGAACAGG